CUAAUACCCUUAAAGUGAACAGAGAACAGUGUGGGCAGCACUCGGGAUUAGCGAGCGUAGCUUGUGUGUCUAACUCCCAGACACGUGAUUCACAGGGGUAGAGAGUCGUUGGAAGAAAUCAUAGACCCACACACACGCAUAGGCGAGAGGGAUCUUUUCCCUUUGCUGCGCUACUGAAAGGGCUUGUAGUUGCUAUGACAGAGAUGCGAACACCAGGAAAUAAAAAGGAGCUGUGACCACCUCUAACUGUCCCAGAGAGCAUAGGUUACCAGGAUGUCCGAUGAGUUUUCACCUCUGUCUGCUCGCACGAACCUCAUAGAACACACACUGAGACUCCUCCAUACCGGUUGCCUGAACACAAAAAAAAGUGGCUCAGGAUUAACUCAAGGUUAUGCGAGAUAUGGGAAUAAUUGAAGAGUCCCACAGUGACUGGAACAGCCUGGUGGGUUUGGUGCCCAAGACUGAUGGGUCAGUCUGUUUUUGUGUGGAUUUUAGAAAAAUCAACGCAGUGUCUAAAUUUGAUGCGUAUCCGAUGCCCAUCGGUUAAGUGUGGCUCGGUUUUGACACUGGAUUUAACCAAGGGAGGGGUAUUGGCAGCUUCCCUUGACUCCAAUAUCUUGUGAAAAAAGUCACUUUUCCACUCCAGUUGGGUUGCACCAGUUACCACCAGGUGGGGCGGGGGCAUGGGGGCGUGGUCGUUAGCGUAAGGCCAGACAGCUCCCCGGCCUGAGUUGGGUGGUGGGGUAUGUGGUGGCAGGGCCAUGGUCAAGUGUCAGCUGUGGAUGGAGAGGACGUGGGUCGCACCAGCAGGAGAUGAUUCUCACCUGUAUCUUAUACGGUAGACAUUAGGUUAAUUCCAAGUUAUGGCAUUAAAUGCUGUCCAGCACCGAACACAUGGGAAAUCUUUUGGACUUUGGUUUGAGUAAACAGAAAACAUGUUUGUGUUUCUGACUGCUUUACUUAAAAAAACAUACUCUGUCAAGAUCUUGGCUCUUAAUCAAGGUUAAGAUUCUGUCUUAGAUAAUGAUGCAUUCUUUACUAUGCAGAGCAGCAGCUGUACAUCAACACUGUCCAGAAGCGCCGCCCACUUCUCUGGGCUCGGUCUCAUCUGAGAUGGAGAGUAACACAGUGAAAUCGUGUUUUGUGGUCCAACGAGUCGACAUUUCAAAUCGUUUUUGGACAAAAUAGCCGUCAUGUUCUCCGGGCCGUCUAAGCUGUUAUCAGCAUCAGGUCCAAAAGCCAGUCCAAGUCAUGGGAUGUCCCUGCAUUUUCCAGCAGGACAACGCCAAACCACAUUCUGCCCGGAUUACAAGUGCAUGGUUGUGAAAACAGAGAGUGCGGGUGCUAACAUGGUCUAAAAUAAGACAACGAAGGUCCUGUACAGUUGUGCAGCUGAAGAAAUGUAUAAUGGAUGAAUGAUGGAAAAUUUCCGCUUGCUAAACUUAACCAACUGGUGUCUUCACUCAACGCUUAUAAGUGUUAUUAAAAGGAAAGGUGAUGUUACACAACGUAAACAAUCGACUGUCCCAAUUUAACCUUCCCUAAACCAGAAGGUCCAUUCAAACACCUAAUGAUUUCAUUGAACUGACAGAUCUCAAAUUAGUUGCCUAAUGCCUUCGGCUCUCCUGUAUUUAGCACGGUCCUUCAAUCUCUCAGCUUCAGCUCUCAUUUGAUUCAAAACACCUAAUAUGCUAUCACAUUCUUUCUCUAAACGUCCAUGUUUUGAUAUCUGCUUUUCAGUUCUCGUCACAUCCAGCGUGUCAAGUUGUAAAUCUCGCAGGUCUUGCUGGAGGAGCAGAACAUCAAGAACUGCUUUCUUAGCGGCCCCCGAAUCAGAAGGUUUUCCAGUCCGUACCUGGGGAACAGCUUGAGCCCUUUCUUUUUCUUGGCCCUCUUUUUCUUCUGACACGGUUGUGUUUCCCCGGGCUGUCAAGGUUGAGGUUCUUUACAUAGUUUAAUCAUAACAGUUUAAUCAUAAUCCCAUAACAUAAUACAUCAGCUUGUAUUUUACAACUAAGCAAGAAAUAACGGUAGGGCUGAGGCUACAUAAUCCUGAGAUCUACAUCUCCUACAACAGUGGAUAUUUCUCUGUACCAUCACACAGACAUUAGGGGUGUCACGAUCCGACGAACCGAUGUAUCGAUGCCAUGCGCAAACAUCGAUGCACGUAUCAUUUUUAAGAUGGACCAUAGCCGGAGUGGCUAACUGGGAUUACUGACUUACUGAAAUACUUCAUAUUUGCUUGAAUGAAAACCAACUUUUUUUAAAAAAAAAAAAUCAGUGCCAGGCCCCUGAAUCGAUCGACUGAAUCGAAAACGCGCAAAUAUCGAAUCACUGGCGAAAAGAAUCGAUAUAUUAGAUUGUAUCAUCAUGAAACGUGCAAUUUACCCCCUAAUAAACAUAUGGGCACAACCAUCAACUUGAGUAAGAAAAUCGCAAGCCAUCAAUAAGGUAAGCCUCAACUAAAAAUAAAUGAAUAUAAACUUUUUUUUUGUUAGGGAGUAAUUCUUGUAGAUGUCAACAACAGGCGACGUAAUGACGUAACGUAAUAUAAAUAUUGUGAUUAUUCACGUCGUGAUCCUGUGGAUAUCGUUAUUAAAGUACUGUUAUGAAACUGACUGAAUGCACUGGGACUUGCUGUACCGAGUAGCUGACUGGACAGUGAAGUGCACCUAUUAUGCUUUUUUCAGAUAUUACCUUUCAUGUAGUGUGUAUAUAGAGCUGUUUGUGAAUGUAAAAAUAAAAAAAAUCAAAGUGCACGACAAACAGAGUUAUCGACUCCCAAAAGACGGAACCGAUUCUGAACAGCUGAAACGAGUUAUUAGUGAUUCCAGACUUAAUUCCUGUACUAACAUACGUAGAUUUUUAACAAAAAGCCCCGCCUCUGGUCUUCAUUGGCUGCUCGCCGACAGCGGUAGACCAAUCACGACAGACUGGGACGUCUGACCAAUCAGAGCAGAGUAUGCUCUCUGAAAGUAGGAGUUUAGAAUGAAUCCUUGAACGAGUCAUUUGUGACACUGGGGGAAAAAGAGUAACGCUACAGUUUAAAUUAUGAGCACAUUAAAGUGUUUUUGAUCUCGGAUGCGUGUAAAUCUAUUAUACGAGACGUUUAAAACAAAAUUAUGCACAUUAUUAUCAAAACCAUAAUAGGUGCACUUUAAAAUCCUCCUCCAUGUGAAAUAAAUGAAACACCUCACCAAAGCAUAAUUACUAUGGCAUCACCAUACAGUCUAUCGCGUUGUAUACAAACCCUUAAGACGGACAGCUGGACAGUCAGUGCGUUCUUUACACUUUAGUGUGAAAGAAAUUGUCAUGCACGCCUCCACGGUCUCCGCCAUCUUCCCGGAAGUCAACACUGGCAAACAGGAAACAUGUCAGAGUCAAGGGAGCUGAAAUUUCGCACCAAAGUGUGGGCUGUAGACGUUACUGCAGGGUUGAUGCAUACAGUAUCACUCCUACCAUCCAUCCAUCCAUCCAUCCAUUAUCUAUACCGAUUAUCCUAUAGGGUCGCGGGGAACCUGGAGCCUAUCCCAGGGAUCAUGGGGCAGAAGGCGGGGUACACCUGGGUGCUAAUACAUCUCGUCAAGCGUGAACUCCUUUAAUACUGUUUAAAAAGCAUCUCAGGGAAAUUCCUCAAGAAAUCGGAUGAGAAAACACCAAGAAUACAUUUCUGGAAAUUCUAGGCAAAAAAAAAAUCUACUUUGAAGAUGCUAAUCUUAUCUUUAAGAAAAGCUCAAGUAAAAAAAAGAAUGAUUUGGCAAUGAGGGCUUAACAGAUGUUAGCUUGAAGGCUGCUUAAUAUGUAAUAAUAAAACCUCAAAUCUUUCAAGAAAUUUCAGUAAAAAAAAUGUCUUACACCAUUCAGACCAACAUUUUGCUGAGUUCACUUUGGUGUAUAAUCUUUGCUUAACUACUAUCAUGUAUUAACUGCAUGUAGCUACACAAACAUAGUGUAAAUUAAGUACACACCAUAUAAAACUGCUGUUAUCUUUGCCUAAUCUUUCAUCACAAAUUAUGAUACCAUUAUGCUAAAAUUUUUUGUAAGUACCAUAUUAUACUAAAAUAGUCCACAAUACUUACAGUUAUGUCCACUAUGAUUUUCAAAUUUUCAUAAAGCUUUUGUAUGAAGAAUACUAAUUAUACACCAAUUAUGCCAGAAUUGUAUCAAUUGUAAUAAUCCAGACCGCUAUUUAUAUAUGUAUUAUCAUUUAAACACAAGUUCUGUUGCAAUAAAGGAGCUAAUAAACUAUCUAUCUGGAACUCAGUACAAUGUUAGACUUUAAGCACCCAUUCAGCUGAAAGGUGUUACGAGGUUUUUACGAGGAGAUUAAAAAAUAAGGGAAUAAAUGUCUGUGAAAGAGAGUUCAUUUGUUUUUGCUGAGAGUGCGUUGUUUCUCAGCGUGUUCGCAUGACGCUGUCGAUGGCAGAGAGCUUACGGUUGGUAAGAUCGACAAGGCAAGCCACCUCUGGCUACAGAAACCAAUGAGAGUCUUCCCCCAUUUACAUCUUAGGGGAAUCCAGCUGAGAGGUGGAGUUCUGUCCACGAAGGCACAAGGGUCUCGCGGUAGACCCAACCAGGCAGAUGAUAUCACAUGCCGGGGGGCCUGUGCUAUGCGGGAGACAUUAAAUCAUGUUCUCCAAGUAUGUGAGGUCACGCACCAGGCCCGCUGUGCCCGCCAUAACAGAGUGAUGCGGUUGGCGGAGAAAAUGCUUAGGAAGGUCAAGCGGAGUAUAUGGACAGAGCCUGUGAUUGCAACUGCGCACUCGUACAUCAAGCCUGACCUGGUGAUGGAGGAACUGCUAAAGUUGACGGUAUUGGAUGUUUCGGUGGUGGCUGGAUGCUGUAUGACGGAGACAUGGAACCUUAAGGUUGAGAAAUAUGGGUCUUUAAGUAACAUCGAGGCCAUAAAAAGAUGGAGAGAGACGGAGAAGGAGAUAAUACAACUCCCGUUGAUCUUUUCAAACAGAGGCCUUUUGUAUGAGCCCUCAGGGGCCUUACCUUUGCCUGUCAGUAAUAAAUGGGUCAAUCCGUUGCUACAAUCGUUACACGAGAUGAGUAUUAUGAAUAAAAAAUUUUUUUUUAAAAAGAGGCAUUAUCCGAGUCUGUCACAGAGAAGGAUCUAUCGCCUUUAUGAUCCUUUAUGAUCCUGAUGUUUGCAUAGCCAUUAGCGCCCGGAUGGGUGCCUCAGGAAGAGAAUAUCAACCUGAUAACAUGUGUUAAAAUAUUUCAUUAUUCUGAUUUAUUUUGGAUUUUUUUUAUCACAACAUAAUUCCCAUAGUUCCAUUUGUGUUACUCCAGAGUUUUGAUGACUUUGUUAUAAUCCUCCGGUUAGAAUGAGUGUGUCUAAACUUUUGAGCAGUAGUGUCGGUCAAUGUUCUAUCGAUUUGCUUGCUUUUCUAGAUGUUGCGCAAUCAUGGGGCAGCACACUAACUGUCCCACUUAACCCCAUAAAGUUCUGAUUGCUCACAGCGGUCAAAAAUGGGAACUGCAAUACGCACUAAUUCAGGACCACUGGGGUGUGAAUCACUCUGCCCUAUGCUCGCUGUAGUCACAUUUUCAGUGGAGGAGGAGAAGAAACAGAAUAUUAAUGACAGGUUUGCUGGAGUGGGCUUGUUUAAAAAUACUUUGUGGCCACCAAGAACUUGUUUUCGAAGUGGGCCAAUACUCACCAGUAGGCAGUACCGACACUUCCACAUUUGACUUUUUAGCGUACCGGCACUUCUUACCAGCUGCCAGUACUCUUUCCCUUUCUCUCCAUUUCAGGUUCUGGCUGAUUCAUAAUUGCCCUACAUAAAUUACAUUACCCAGGGGGCGCUAUGUGACGCUGACCUGUUCAGGUUCUCUCAACAAGUCUCAAGAUAAAUAAUGUUAAUGCUAGUCUAACGUUAUGUAAUGUAACAUUAAUGCUAAGAAACGUUUAUGCAGAUAAUGUUGGACUUUGUGCUCCAAGAGGGCACAAAGAGAACACGAGUCAGACAAUGUCACCACAGAGCUUCAAACAGAAGCAUUAACAUCAUUAAAUGCAGGCCAGGAGCAGCUAGCUAAUGUUAGCGCCACACCUAGCAGCAAGGAGCCUGUUGAUGUCGCAUCAGCCAAAACACCUGUAACUACCGCUACAGCUAAUAGCAAAGGCUACAGCAGGGGGAAGAGCUUUCUCUUACAAAGCCCCACAGUUAUGGAACAGCCUUCCAAUUAGUGUUCGGGACUCAGAUACAGUCUGUGUUUAAGUCUAGGCUUAAAACGUAUUUGUUUACUCAAGCCUACCCUGAAUAGACUUUCUGUUACGCUAAGCACAGUCCUAAUAAUCUUUUCUCUCCCUCUCUCCUUCUGUCGAGCCACACACGAUUUUAUGGAGAUACUAGAGAUCCUGAUCCUCUCUGCUCUCCGGACUCACCUGAUCCGUUUCGGAUGUCCUACCUCUGGAUGGAGCUCUCAUCUACUCCAAUUCCAGAUUGCUGGGACCACGGCUGCUUCUAAGGCCAAACAGACUUCAUAUAAAACCAUAAUUAACUUUUUCACACUAUCCGUUGUUACCCAGAUGAGGACGGGUUCCCUUCUGAGUCUGGUUCCUCUCAAGGUUUCUUCCUCUUAAAACAUCUUAGGUAGUUUUUCCUUGCCACCGUCAACACCGGCUCACUCAAUAGGGAUAAAUUUGCACUUUUAGUAUCUGUAUACCGUGUUUAUAUUUCUAUAAAGCUGCUUUGAGACAAUGUCUAUUGUAAAAACGCUAUACAAAUAAAAUAAAAUUGAAUUGAAUUUCUAAUGCAUUGAUGUAACUGAAAUUGCUAGUAAAUACUCAGAGAAUUUACUCAGAGAGUAGCCUAUACUUUGUUUACGUUCACCAUGUUAGUAGAAAGUAGUAGAGAGCUUUGUCAUACUAUACAAAUAAAAUCCACAUACAGUACAACAAGGCCACAUUCUCCAGGGCCGUGUUGCAAUAAAUUAAAGUAAAGUAACAAUAUUAUGGUACAAGGUGAGAUAUGAGUGCCUACCAGUGCUCUUAAGGUGACAAAAAUCAACGUGUUUUAUUGUAGUUAUAAAAUCAGGAUUACAAAUUCAACAACUCAAUUUGUGUGUUUAACAUAUUUACAAUAUAUUUACAUGAAACUCUUCCCACACUUGGAGCACAAAAACGACUUUCAUGUGUAAACAUGCUGGUGUUGUUUAAGAUUACUCCUGUCACUAAAACUCUUCUCACACUGGGAGCAGUGAUAUGGCUUCUCUCCUGUGUGAAUGCACUGCUGCGUUUGCAGACUGCUUUGUUGAGCAAAACCCUUCUCACAGUGUGAGCACGGAUAUGGCUUUCUAGGGUUAAAUAUCAAAAAUCUAAAAGGUGUUUCUCAUAGCUGACACCUAGAUGAACACUCUACAGUUGGUUAUAUGACAGUAAGUCAUUCCCUUCAAAUGCUAUUGAAGUUAGAAACGUGUUUAACAAUGUUGUAUGUAACUUUAGAGACGGUCCCUUAAUUUCCUCAUAUCCGCGAAUAUCGAGCAUCCAACGUCACAUCAACUUUAUUCCAGUCAGCCACGCGAGGGGAUUAAAUAACUGUAAUCAAGCUUAAACUCAGACAGCUGGAAACAAUAAAGUCACACCCUCACACAUCACCAAUACUUGAACAGGUGGAGAACAAAAACCAAAACACAGGCAUGUGUCCAUAGGAAACAGUCCUCAUUACGUAAUCUCGUGCCCUCCGGC